rnacentral:rRNA from 1 species
ACGAGCGGCGAACGGGUGAGUAACACGUGGGUGAUCUGCCUUGCACUUCGGGAUAAGCCUGGGAAACUGGGUCUAAUACCGGAUAUGACCACUGAUCGCAUGGUCGGUGGUGGAAAGAUUUAUCRRUGCGAGAUGGGCCCGCGGCCUAUCAGCUUGUUGGUGAGGUAACGGCUCACCAAGGCGACGACGGGUAGCCGACCUGAGAGGGUGACCGGCCACACUGGGACUGAGACACGGCCCAGACUCCUACGGGAGGCAGCAGUGGGGAAUAUUGCACAAUGGGCGAAAGCCUGAUGCAGCGACGCCGCGUGCGGGAUGACGGCCUUCGGGUUGUAAACCGCUUUUGACAGGGACGAAGCGCAAGUGACUGUACCUGUAGAAUAAGGACCGGCCAACUACGUGCCAGCAGCCGCGGUAAUACGUAGGGUCCGAGCGUUGUCCGGAAUUACUGGGCGUAAAGAGCUUGUAGGCGGUUCGUCGCGUCGUUUGUGAAAACUUGGGGCUCAACCUUAAGCUUGCAGGCGAUACGGGCGGACUAGAGUACUUCAGGGGAGACUGGAAUUCCUGGUGUAGCGGUGAAAUGCGCAGAUAUCAGGAGGAACACCGGUGGCGAAGGCGGGUCUCUGGGAAGUAACUGACGCUGAGAAGCGAAAGCAUGGGUAGCAAACAGGAUUAGAUACCCUGGUAGUCCAUGCCGUAAACGGUGGGUACUAGGUGUGGGGCUCCUUCCACGGACUCCGUGCCGUAGCUAACGCAUUAAGUACCCCGCCUGGGGAGUACGGCCGCAAGGCUAAAACUCAAAGAAAUUGACGGGGGCCCGCACAAGCGGCGGAGCAUGUGGAUUAAUUCGAUGCAACGCGAAGAACCUUACCUGGGUUUGACAUACACCGGAAACCUGCAGAGAUGUAGGCCCCCUUGUGGUCGGUGUACAGGUGGUGCAUGGCUGUCGUCAGCUCGUGUCGUGAGAUGUUGGGUUAAGUCCCGCAACGAGCGCAACCCUUAUCUUAUGUUGCCAGCGCGUAAUGGCGGGGACUCGUGAGAGACUGCCGGGGUCAACUCGGAGGAAGGUGGGGACGACGUCAAGUCAUCAUGCCCCUUAUGUCCAGGGCUUCACACAUGCUACAAUGGCCGGUACAGAGGGCUGCGAUACCGCGAGGUGGAGCGAAUCCCUUAAAGCCGGUCUCAGUUCGGAUCGGGGUCUGCAACUCGACCCCGUGAAGUUGGAGUCGCUAGUAAUCGCAGAUCAGCAACGCUGCGGUGAAUACGUUCCCGGGCCUUGUACACACCGCCCGUCACGUCAUGAAAGUCGGUAACACCCGAAGCCGGUGGCCUA